rnacentral:rRNA from 1 species
AUUGAACGCUGGCGGCAUGCCUUACACAUGCAAGUCGAACGGCAGCACGGGGGCAACCCUGGUGGCGGGUGGCGAACGGGUGAGUAAUGCAUCGGAACGUGCCCAGUAGUGGGGGAUAACCAGUCGAAAGACUGGCUAAUACCGCAUACGACCCAAGGGUGAAAGCGGGGGACCGUAAGGCCUCGCGCUAUUUGAGCGGCCGAUGUCUGAUUAGCUAGUUGGCGGGGUAAGAGCCCACCAAGGCGACGGUCAGUAGCUGGUCUGAGAGGACGACCAGCCACACUGGGACUGAGACACGGCCCAGACUCCUACGGGAGGCAGCAGUGGGGAAUUUUGGACAAUGGGCGCAAGCCUGAUCCAGCCAUGCCGCGUGCGGGAAGAAGGCCUUCGGGUUGUAAACCGCUUUUGGCAGGAACGAAACGGCGCAAGCCAAUACCUUGCGCUAAUGACGGUACCUGCAGAAUAAGCACCGGCUAACUACGUGCCAGCAGCCGCCGUAAGAC